rnacentral:rRNA from 1 species
AAGUCAGAUGUGAAAGCCUUCUGUUCAACGGAAGAAUUGCAUCUGAAACUGCGAGUCUUGAGUGUAGGAGGGGAGAAUGGAACUUCUGGUGGAGCGGUUAAAUGCGUAGAUAUCAGAAGGAACGCCGGCGGCGAAAGCGAUUCUCUGGCCUAUUACUGACACUCAGUGUGCGAAAGCUAGGGGAGCAAACGGGAUUAGAUACCCCGGUAGUCCUAGCUGUAAACGAUGGGCACUAAGUAGAGGGGAUUACCGAUGUUCUCUCUGCCGUAGCUAACGCAUUAAGUGCCCCGCCUGGGGAGUACGGCCGCAAGGCUAAAACUCAAAAGAAUUGACGGGGGCUCGCACAAGCGGUGGAGCAUGUGGUUUAAUUCGAUGCAACGCGGAGAACCUUACCGGGGCUUGACAUGGUAGAAGUAGGAACCUGAAAGGGUAACGAACGGUAUCCAGUCCGUAACUAUCACAGGUGUUGCAUGGCUGUCGUCAGCUCGUGUCGUGAGACGUUGGGUUAAGUCCCCUAACGAGCGAAACCCUUGUUUUUAGUUACCAGCGGGUUAUGCCGGGUACUCUAGAAAGACUGCCGUCGUCAAGACGGAGGAAGGUGGGGAUGACGUCAAGUCAUCAUGGCCCUUAUGCCCCGGGCUACACACGUGCUACAAUGGCCGGUACAAACGGAAGCGAAG